CCGGCUGGCACUUAAAUCAUUUCAGACAGUUUCUUACGUCACGGUUUCCAGCUGUAUGAGUGGGUCCCUACAACCCGGAUAUACACACCGCUGCUCGUCUUUAAGAGACGUCAACAGGUCUGCAAAUUCUCCAGGAAUAUCAACAAAAACACAGCUUUUCUCGGCCCACGGCGGGUCCACAAAUUUUCACUGACCACGGCGGGUCCACAAAUUUUCACUGACCACGGCGGGUCCACAAAUGCAUAGGUGUAUAACGAUGAAGAUGAAUGUACAGUGAACUAUGAAAACACUGGAGACUCUUCUGCUUCUGUCAGACUCCACUGAUCAAGAUCUUCAACAUCAACUGAUCACAGAAAUGAAUCCACUGAUGUUUAAAACAUUUACAUUUUGAUUUUAUCUCAUAUUUAGAAUCCAAAACCUUUUUCAUGUGCAGUUAUUUAGCUAGUUAAAAAUAACUCAAACUCUGUGUCUGAAACAGUUUGUCCAGUUAGUUACGUAAAGAAAAGACUUUCAGACUGAGAAUGUUGCAGUCAGAAGGUUGACUGAGAAGUCGAGUUGACAAAGGAAACUGCUUCAGCCAUGAAAGGGGGAGGCCAGCAUAAUCAGAAUAACAGCUUCUUCUUUGGUGUUUACAUUUAUUUUUUAUAUAUUUGAUUGUUACACUUUAUCUUUAUUUGUGACACAGUAACCAACGUUAUAUUCAAUGUUAUAACUUUUAUGUUAUCUAUAACUUUUGUCACAACCUGGCUCAAAGGAUGUGGCAAGUAGGUGGGAGACCACACAGGCUUUUAAAGGCUGUAAGAUAUUUUAAUUAAAUAAAGUAAAGAAACUCAAACACAGAUUAAAUGGUACAACAUCCAUAACCAAACCUAACCAAGGGAGCAUAAUGAGCCACAGACGGAGGAGGCCAGAGGUUCAGUCAAAGUGACUUUAUAAUGCGCAUGGAUGGCCCUCUCAGGUUUGCUGCAUCUAUAAUUGGGUCAGCUCCACCUACCAGAUACCUGAAAGGCAACAAGACAACAAGGCCAGCCCACUGGGUGUCACACACUUUUUUUGGCUGCAUGACAUAAAGAUUGAUUAUAUUGUUUGUUUUCUUGCUCUGUUUCUCUCUGAAUCCUCACACACCUGAACCGUAAUAGACUAGAAGCUACUCUUAAUUAUUCUCUUCAGUUUGACUUGCUGUACUUUCAUCUUCAGUAUUAAACCUUUACUCUUAAGCAGCUCCGUUU
ensembl:lncRNA